GAUGAAGAACGUAGCGAAAUGCGAUAAGUAAUGUGAAUUGCAGAAUUCAGUGAAUCAUCGAAUCUUUGAACGCACAUUGCGCCCGCCAGUAUUCUGGCGGGCAUGCCUGUCUGAGCGUCAUUUCAACCCUCAUGCCCCUAGGGCGUGGUGUUGGGGAUCGGCCAAAGCCCGCGAGGGACGGCCGGCCCCUAAAUCUAGUGGCGGAACCGUCGUGGCCUCCUCUGCGAAGUAGUGAUAUUCCGCAUCGGAGAGCGACGAGCCCCUGCCGUUAAACCCCCAACUUUCCAAGGUUGACCUCAGAUCAGGUAGGAAUACCCGCUGAACUUAAGCAUAUCAAUAAGCGGAGGA
rnacentral:misc_RNA from 1 species